rnacentral:rRNA from 1 species
UGACGAGUGGCGGACGGGUGAGUAAUGCUUGGGAACUUGCCUUUGCGAGGGGGAUAACAGUUGGAAACGACUGCUAAUACCGCAUAAUGUCUUCGGACCAAACGGGGCUCCGGCUCCGGCGCAAAGAGAGGCCCAAGUGAGAUUAGCUAGUUGGUAAGGUAACGGCUUACCAAGGCGACGAUCUCUAGCUGUUCUGAGAGGAAGAUCAGCCACACUGGGACUGAGACACGGCCCAGACUCCUACGGGAGGCAGCAGUGGGGAAUAUUGCACAAUGGGGGAAACCCUGAUGCGGCCAUGCCGCGUGUGUGAAGAAGGCCUUCGGGUUGUAAAGCACUUUCAGUUGUGAGGAAAAGUUAGUAGUUAAUACCUGCUAGCCGUGACGUUAACAACAGAAGAAGCACCGGCUAACUCCGUGCCAGCAGCCGCGGUAAUACGGAGGGUGCGAGCGUUAAUCGGAAUUACUGGGCGUAUAGCGCACGCAGGCGGUUUGUUAAGCUAGAUGUGAAAGCCCCGGGCUCAACCUGGGAUGGUCAUUUUAGAACUGGCAGACU